AAGUCCCUCUAAACACAGAGACACACCAAUGGCAAAGGCAAAAGUCUCAGUAUUAUUUCCUUGUAUGAUGGUUUUAUUUCUCGUAAUAUUUGCCGCAGGUACGGUGAAUGGUUGUAACUACCCGUGCCAUGGCCCACAUGAUGGUUGUCCUAAUCUGCACUGUCCUGGUUGUGUAAAGAAGUGCGUCAACUCUUGCUGCCUGUGUGACUGCAGUGGAAAUCAAAAACCAGAAAUAAAGAUGUAACAAUUUCAUGUCUUUGUUAGUGAGAUUUAUUGGUAAUAAAUAAGAGAAGUUUAAUUCUCCUUCAUCCA